rnacentral:rRNA from 1 species
UACGUAGGGGGCAAGCGUUAUCCGGAUUUACUGGGUGUAAAGGGAGCGUAGACGGCGAUGCAAGCCAGAUGUGAAAGCCCGGGGCUCAACCCCGGGACUGCAUUUGGAACUGUGUGGCUAGAGUGUCGGAGAGGCAAGUGGAAUUCCUAGUGUAGCGGUGAAAUGCGUAGAUAUUAGGAGGAACACCAGUGGCGGAGGCGGCUUGCUGGACGAUGACUGACGUUGAGGCUCGAAAGCGUGGGGAGCAAACAGG